rnacentral:rRNA from 1 species
GACGAACGCUGGCGGUGUGCUUCACACAUGCAAGUCGAACGAGGUAGCAAUACCUAGUGGCGGACGGGUGAGUAACGCGUGGGAAUCUGCCUUUAGAUGGGGGAUAACGGGUCGAAAGACUCGCUAAUACCGCAUAUGACGAAAGUUGAAAGGAGUAAUCCGUCUAAAGAUGAGCCCGCGUCCGAUUAGCUAGUUGGUAGAGUAAAAGCCUACCAAGGCGACGAUCGGUAGCUGGUCUGAGAGGAUGAUCAGCCACAAUAGGGACUGAGACACGGCCCAUACUCCUACGGGAGGCAGCAGUGGGGAAUUUUACGCAAUGGGCGAAAGCCUGACGUAGCGACACCGCGUGAGCGAAGAAGCCCCUUUGGGGUGUAAAGCUCUGUCAGCUGGACGAAAAAAAUGACGGUACCAGCAGAGGAAGCAUCGGCUAACUACGUG